GACGAACGCUGGCGGCGUGCCUAAUACAUGCAAGUUGAGCGAUGAAGAUUGGUGCUUGCACCAAUUUGAAGAGCAGCGAACGGGUGAGUAACGCGUGGGGAAUCUGCCUUUGAGCGGGGGACAACAUUUGGAAACGAAUGCUAAUACCGCAUAACAACUUUAAACAUAAGUUUUAAGUUUGAAAGAUGCAAUUGCAUCACUCAAAGAUGAUCCCGCGUUGUAUUAGCUAGUUGGUGAGGUAAAGGCUCACCAAGGCGAUGAUACAUAGCCGACCUGAGAGGGUGAUCGGCCACAUUGGGACUGAGACCCGGCCCAAACUCCUACGGGAGGCAGCAGUAGGGAAUCUUCGGCAAUGGACGAAAGUCUGACCGAGCAACGCCGCGUGAGUGAAGAAGGUUUUCGGAUCGUAAAACUCUGUUGGUAGAGAAGAACGUUGGUGAGAGUGGAAAGCUCAUCAAGUGACGGUAACUACCCAGAAAGGGACGGCUAACUACGUG
rnacentral:rRNA from 1 species